rnacentral:lncRNA from 1 species
UCAAGGUACCAUUGAACUGCCCGAGACAUUAAAUGGUAAUGAUGCAGUUACAGUUAUUUGCCAAUCAAAGUGAUUCCUGAGGAAGCACAGAGACAUUUAUUUCCAGGCUUUGAUGGCUAUUGUACUGCAUUAUUGGAUUUGGAAAAUAAAGCAGGCGUCGAUAGAAGUGUCUACUCGGUAACUGAUGAUGCCAGGCUCCUCCAAGGAUUCAGCACACAUGGGCUAACUUUGUGCACCAGCUAGUGACCUUGUUUCAGUUAUAACUGAGAAGAGAAAUGAAGAACAAAGGAAUCAGCUGAUUCUUUCGACAGAUAAAGAUAAGUGAUGAUAGCUAAUUACGAUUAGCAUCUGGGAAUUACACUGUAUUAAAAAGCCUGGGAAGGGAAAGUGAUCAGCAUCGCAAUUUCUUUUUCAUUGUUAUGCUCUGUACAUAAGACAAUUUUGAAAGGUAACUUAAAAGGACAAUUCUCAGAGGAUUCUGCAUUGUUUAGAAUAAUAAGUGCAAAGACAUUAGAAUCUGUAUUUAUUUGUCAGAUGAUUAUAAACUACCUAUAAUUCUUUGUUUCUUCCCAUGUUUCAUGUAUAUAAGCCUGUUAAUAACCAUAUAUCUGGAAAUAAUAUAAUUUAUGGCUCAAAACAUACCAUAGUGGAAAUUUAAAAGUUUUUAGAACCAAAUGAUAAUAAAAAUACUAAAUUUCAAAACUUGUGAGAUGUA